AUGCCCAGUCAGUGUACUCAAAACUAUGUCUGGAAAGAGAGGCUGGGUAGGGGCAACAGGGGGUGCAUGGCUCUUCUCCCUUCUUCCCCAUCCCCUCUCCUCUUCUGGCUUCCCGCUUCCUUUGGUCCGCCCUUCCCCUUGCUCCUUUCUGACCUCUCCCCGCCCUCUGGUUCUUUUCUGCAGAGCCUUUUCUUCCCACAAGUUCCCAGGAGGUGCUCUUGGCUAGUGCCCUCAAUCCUUCUUGCCUGCAGGAGGCUGGCGUGUGGCUCUGCUGGGGGCCCAGAGACCACCCAGAGCUGGGAGCGUAUGGUCUGUGGGCCUGUUCUCCGACAUCCAUGGAUCUCUGUGAAUGUGAGCCUGCAGAGGGAGGCAGGAGGAAGGCUGAGCUUCACAGAGAGAAAACUGAGACUCCAAGAGGCCAGUGGAGUCAGGAGUAGGUGGGGGUAUGCUGUAGAUACAGUGGGGUCCUGAUCCUGCCCUGGUCGUGGAGGCCAGUCUAGUCACACACCACUGCCUGUGGGUCCACCCUGGGAGCACUUAGGGGGAGGAGGCUCUGAACAUGGAGGCAGCUCAGACUCUGGGGGCAGAUGGACCUGAGUUUGAAUUCAUCAGCGCUGCCUACCACCUAAGGUGAGUGGUCUGCUUUCUCUGAGGCUCCAUCUGCAGACAGGACAAAGCCCAGGGGGGCCCAGCUGCCAACUCCCCAAGAACCUUCAGCCACAGACAAUGAGCAGCGGGGGACAGGAGCUGGGCUACAGGCACAGAGCAGAGGGGAUUGGGAAGGGAGAGCUGAAGCCAGAGAGCUAUGGCCUGGGCAGCUGCGAGGGAGCAGGCCAGCAGGAGAUGGCCUGGAGGGUCACGGGGUAGUAGGUCAGAGGGUGGAGGCUGGUGGGGUGGUGGGCAGUGGAUUGAUGGCCUUGGCAGUCGUGGUCUCUAAGAGCCCUGCAGUGUGCGAGGAGAGGCGUGAAAGCAAGGGACAGCACCGUGUGACAGCUCUACACAGGCCAGGUGAGGCAAAGAGCAAGUCAGUACCGAGUGGAAUGAGCUGACAGCGAG
rnacentral:lncRNA from 1 species